UACGUAGGGUGCAAGCGUUUAAUCGGAAUUACUGGGCGUAAAGCGUGCGCAGGCGGUUUUGUAAGUCUGUCGUGAAAGCCCCGGGCUCAACCUGGGAAUUGCGAUGGAGACUGCAAGGCUUGAAUCUGGCAGAGGGGGGUAGAAUUCCACGUGUAGCAGUGAAAUGCGUAGAGAUGUGGAGGAGCACCGAUGGCGAAGGCAGCCCCCUGGGUCAAGAUUGACGCUCAUGCACGAAAGCGUGGGGAGCAAACAGG
rnacentral:rRNA from 1 species